UUAAUAUUUAAACAUAAUGUCAUUGAUCUUAAUUAUAUUUGAUUCAGUGCAACGGUCCUAUGCGGUAUAGUGCCUCCAAUUCAAGACGGACAACCUCUCAUUUUAACUCCGUACAUAAAAAAUGGUGAGAUAGAAAAAGCGAGAAACCAGUCCGAAGUGGACCCAUCCCUGUUCGCAGGCGUCAAGAGUUACGCAGGAUAUUUUACUGUUAACGAAACGGCGAAAUGGCAUCUAUUUUCUUGGUUCUUCCCCAGCCCUAAUUUCUAUCCUCUAGACAAAACUCCAUUGAUAAUUUGGUUACAAGGAGGCCCUGGAGGAUCGUCCAUGUUUGGAUUAUUCGAAGAAAUUGGUCCUAUAUAGUAUGUCAAUAAUAAAAUAGAGGGCAGGGUUUUUGGUAACUGGGGUUAUGAUUACUCCCUCCUCUUCAUUGACAAUCCAGUGGGUACUGGGUUUAGUUUUACUGAGACUGAGGAGUACGUGACUAAUGAGGACCAGGUUGGACAAUGUCUUUUAAAUCAUAUACAACAAUUUCUAGAAGUAUAUCCAGAACUGAAAACUGCACCGUUGUUCAUCGCCGGUGAAUCGUAUGCAGGAAAGUAUAUUCCAGCUUCUGGGCAUUACAUUCAUAAAAACAAUGCA